rnacentral:rRNA from 1 species
GACGAACGCNGGCGGCGUGCUUAACACAUGCAAGUCGAACGUGAUUUUUGUGGAAAGCUCUUCGGGGACGGAAGCGAAAUGAGAGUGGCGAACGGGUGAGUAACACGUGAGCAACCUAGCUUACACAGGGGGAUAGCCGUUGGAAACGACGAUUAAUACCGCAUGAGACCACAAAGCCACAUGGCUUAGGGGUAAAAGAUUUAUCGGUGUAAGAUGGGCUCGCGUCUGAUUAGCUAGUUGGAAGGGUAAAGGCCUACCAAGGCAACGAUCAGUAGCCGGUCUGAGAGGAUGAACGGCCACAUUGGAACUGAGACACGGUCCAAACUCCUACGGGAGGCAGCAGUGGGGAAUAUUGCACAAUGGGGGGAACCCUGAUGCAGCGACGCCGCGUGAGCGAAGAAGGUCUUCGAAUCGUAAAGCUCUGUCCUAUGAGAAGAUAANGACGGUNUCA